rnacentral:rRNA from 1 species
GACGAACGCUGGCGGCGUGCUUAACACAUGCCAGUCGAACGGAAAGGCCCUGCUUUUGUGGGGUGCUCGAGUGGCGAACGGGUGAGUAACACGUGAGUAACCUGCCCUUGACUUUGGGAUAACUUCAGGAAACUGGGGCUAAUACCGGAUAGGAGCUCCUGCUGCAUGGUGGGGGUUGGAAAGUUUCGGCGGUUUGGGAUGGACUCGCGGCUUAUCAGCUUGUUGGUGGGGUAGUGGCUUACCAAGGCUUUGACGGGUAGCCGGCCUGAGAGGGUGACCGGCCACAGUGGGACUGAGAUACGGCCCAGACUCCUGCGGGAGGCAGCAGUGGGGAAUAUUGCACAAUGGGCGGAAGCCUGAUGCAGCAACGCCGCGUGCGGGAUGACGGCCUUCGGGUUGUAAACCGCUUUCGCCUGUGACGAAGCGUGAGUGACGGUAAUGGGUAAAGAAGCACCGGCUAACUACGUG